rnacentral:rRNA from 1 species
UACGAAGGGUGCAAACGUUGCUCGGAAUUAUUGGGCGUAAAGCGCACGUAGGCGGCUUAGCAAGUCGGAUGUGAAAUCCCUCGGCUCAACCAAGGAAGUGCAUCCGAAACUGCUGAGCUUGAGUACCAAAGAGGAUCGCGGAAUUCCCGGUGUAGAGGUGAAAUUCGUAGAUAUCGGGAGGAACACCGGUGGCGAAGGCGGCAUCCUGGACCGGUAGUUGACGCUGAGGAGCGAAAGCCAGGGGAGCAAACGGG